GGGGAUAGCCAGAGCGACCUCUGAUGUUCUUGGCACCGAACCACAACAGGCACAGAAGGGGCCUUGAGAUCAUCCAGUGCAGCCCCUCCCUUUGCAGAGAGGAGCUGGGGCCCAGGAGGGGCGUGGUCUGGGCCCGUUUCCCGGGUCCUUCGCCAGCCAGCGCACUGGGCACCCCGGUGACGAUUUUCACAGGGAAGAGCCAAGCAUACAGUUGGCACCAGCCAAUGUUCCAAGGUUCCUCGGUUGGAAGCUUCCUUUGGACCUAAAAUCUGGUCACUGGGAGAAGCGGCUGUGACUCAGGUCUGGAAGUCCUCUUCCAUCUUUCUAAGGUGUGAUCAAAAAUACAGUGACUGUCACUACUGAGAACAAUGCAAGAGAAAGGAGGGCUCCUAAAAACAUCCCGGUGUGUCCACAUCCAGCUUAUUCACCAAUCUUGGACGUACAACUUCUGCCUCUUCCCCAAAGUCGAAAUGAUCAUGGAAGGAUCAGUUAUGCAACUCGGGAUGUUCAGAAAUCCCUGCACACCCUUCCUGCUGAAGACGUCAUGCAGAAGGCUAGGAGCAGCUCGCAGCUGGAUGGAGAGGCAGGACCUGCAGAUUGUUUUUGCUCUCUCUGCUGCCUCCCUCUUACAGUUCCUGCUCUGUUCAGGGGCCUUGGGGAAGAGAAGAAUGUGAAAAAUAAGCUCGUACCAUGUGGGAAUGGCUGAUACUAGUUUCACAGGUUAAUCUGCUUCCCAAGGUGGGGGUUUUGCUUUUCACACAGUGAACUCAGAGCUAGAAUCCCCAGUGACAGAAUUUCCGGCACUCUUGCUUUAUGGAUGCUUUCCUAGGUGGGAGCAAACCUGGGUUAAGUGCGGUGAGAGGGUUUGGGAGGUGCUAUCCACGUUGCACCCAUAUUCCCGACUCUGCCACUUGCUAGCUACGAAAUUUGGGGCAAGUGACUUCACCUCUCUAAAUCGCCUGCCAUAGAUUUGAGUUUCCCUGGGAGUAGACUCUGAUUCAAGGGUGGAUGUGUAAGCAGUGGGGGUGGAGGUGAUCCCAAGAGUCACUGUCAAGGGAACACUAUAGGACAUAAGCUAAGGAAGGCAGCCAGUACAGGGGUGGGAGUGAGAAGUGUCCCCUGGGGGUGCUGGCAGACCAGGCAGAACACACCUAGAGGUGGCCCCCGAGAGGAGUGGCAGCUGGGGUUCAGCCAUUGGUCCAGGGCUGCCCCCCAUGUCUCCAGCACCCGGAGCCCUCAGAGAAGGCUCCAGAGGCAGAGAGCAGCUCCUGGCUUGUAGUUGGAGGCUGGAAGACCCUUCUUACCCCAAAUCCCUGAAGGCUUCCUGUUACCUGACCUAUGAAGGCCAUGCUCCUCGCUGUGAUGUUAAAAGCCCCCUGUCAUUUGGCCUGGAAUGAUUUUGCCACUUACCUCUUUAUCACUCCUUCACUCCUGCAAAAUCCUAGGACUUGCCUCCUUGGCAUUUAACCUGCCCCAAAAUAAAGAAAAGGAAGAAAAUGGGAACGUUUCAGCUGUGAGCCAACAUGUAGCCCAAGAGUGUCCUUCCAGGGCUCUGCCCCUGGCAUUUUGGACGUGGCUGGAUGACUCCAGCCUUGGGCAUCAUCUGAAAUGGUAGGAAGAGCCACAGCCACUCUGAGAAGUAACGGGAGGUAGCACUGUUAAGAGGCACUGGGCACCUGGAGCCUUGUGGCUUCCUUAGGAAGAAGG
rnacentral:lncRNA from 1 species